rnacentral:lncRNA from 1 species
AGUCCAAAGCAUGUGAUUUUUUUUUUCAGUUGGUGAUGUGAACAAAAAAUACUGGAAUCAACAGCACUUUUCUCUGAUGUUUCCUAAACCCAACCGACCAGGGAAGAAGUGGAGAUCAACUCCUUCUGAAUUAAGACAAUAUUCUCCUGUAGAGCUUGCAGUAAAAGACGAUCAGAAAGCAACUCCCAUCUGGAUGUCACGUUCUUUACUACAAAUUUCAGAGAAACCUUCUGCUUAUUUAGCUGCCAGAAGAAGGCCCCCAUUUUUCACAGCUCCACAAAGAGCAUCAAAAUCCACAGACCCAUCCCCAGGAGAGAAAAAACAAAUGUACAAGAAAGAAAAAACUCAAGCAGAGAAAACAUCAGAGAAGAAGAUGGCAGACUCACCAAAAGAGUCAAAAACUAAACUACUAGACACAGUCAAUGACAUUUCAUCCAGAGGAUAUGACAAUGUGUCCAAAGGUUCAGGAGAGUCAAAGCUAAAAAGUGGCACAGAUUCACCUAAAGACAAGGAGCCACACACUGAAACCAAGGAAGUGAGUGUGAACAUGAAAGACGCAAAUAAGAAGAAAACAUCCAAGGAGUCUGAUGUUGAAUCCAGUGAUUCAAAGAAUGGAAAGAAGAAAGGCAAGGAUUCAAGAAAUAAGUCUAGGAAUUUGGACAAGGCUUCAAAGAGAAAAUCCAAGGACGCAGAGUUGGAUACAGUGAAGAAAGACAAGAAUAUAAAGAAAAACUCCAUAGAUUCAAUCUCUAAAUCAUCAGGUUCAAAGCAGAUAGACAAAGAUUUAAGGAAAAGAUCCAAGGACUCUAAUGUUAAACACAAGAAUGAAAAGAAAGACAAGGCUUCAAGGAGGAGGUCCAAGGAUUCAGGCACUGAAUCCAGUGAUUCAAAGAAGAGAGAUAAGAAUUCAAGGAAGAAAUCUAAGGACUCGAACAAUAAGUCCCAAAAUUUAAAGAUGGAAGACAAGAAACAUAAGGAGAGGGAUAUGGAAUCUGAGAAAUCAAUUGAUUCAAAGAAGAAAUCCAAAGGGUUAAAUACAUUCAGGGAUUCAAAGAAACCCAAGAAUGGGACGGCAAAGUUCAAAGAACCAGACAUUGGAUCCACAAGGACAGAAUCAGUUGUCACAUGGCAAACUCUCCUUAAGGUCCUAUAUCGCUCAACAGAUGCCACCUCGAAUUGCGAAGACUGAGAUUAGAAAUGCACCUCUGCCUGAAGCCCAGUGGAUCCACAAACUGCUUUGAAGACCUGUGCGUUUGGUUCUACUGGAUAGACUUACCACAGAUAGGACAACCAAUAGCUAGCUACUAUCAAAAAUGUUUCUACUUCUGAUAAAGAAAACCUUUUGUCCUCAUUGAGUCCCAGUGACUUUAUUUCAUGAUGUGCAGAG